AUUGAACGCUGGCGGAAUGCUUUACACAUGCAAGUCGAACGGCAGCACGGACUUCGGUCUGGUGGCGAGUGGCGAACGGGUGAGUAAUACAUCGGAACGUGCCCAGUCGUGGGGGAUAACGUAGCGAAAGCUACGCUAAUACCGCAUACGAUCUAAGGAUGAAAGCGGGGGAUCGCAAGACCUCGCGCGAUUGGAGCGGCCGAUGGCAGAUUAGGUAGUUGGUAGGGUAAAGGCCUACCAAGCCGACGAUCUGUAGCUGGUCUGAGAGGAUGAUCAGCCACACUGGGACUGAGACACGGCCCAGACUCCUACGGGAGGCAGCAGUGGGGAAUUUUGGACAAUGGACGCAAGUCUGAUCCAGCCAUUCCGCGUGCAGGAUGAAGGCCCUCGGGUUGUAAACUGCUUUUGUACAGAACGAAAAGGCUCUGGUUAAUACCUGGGGCUCAUGACGGUACUGUAAGAAUAAGCACCGGCUAACUACGUGCCAGCAGCCGCGGUAA
rnacentral:rRNA from 1 species